GGGUUGGUAGCUCAGUUGGUAGAGCAGCCCCGAUCCGAUCGGGGUUGGUCCGGGGUUCGAGUCCCCGCAAUGGCA
rnacentral:tRNA from 1 species